AAAAAUCUUAAAUCAAAUUCUUUCUUUUGCUAUUAUUUUCUAGUUCUUUCUUCUAUUCCCUUCUUUAAUUUCUCAUUUCCAGCGUUUCAACCCGUUUCUUGAAAUUCUUGAAAUUUUUCUAUGAAGAAUCAAUACAAUAGAUAUCUUUUUGCUUCUUCUCUUUUCUCUAAUUCUUCCUUUCAAUUUUGUUUCUCUUUUCAACUAAUCUCU
rnacentral:misc_RNA from 1 species